UGGGGAAUAUUGCACAAUGGGCGCAAGCCUGAUGCAGCCAUGCCGCGUGUGUGAAGAAGGCCUUCGGGUUGUAAAGCACUUUCAGCGGGGAGGAAGGCGUUAAGGUUAAUAACCUUGGCGAUUGACGUUACCCGCAGAAGAAGCACCGGCUAACUCCGUGCCAGCAGCCGCGGUAAUACGGAGGGUGCAAGCGUUAAUCGGAAUUACUGGGCGUAAAGCGCACGCAGGCGGUUGAUUGAGUCAGAUGUGAAAUCCCCGGGCUUAACCCGGGAAUUGCAUCUGAUACUGGUCAGCUAGAGUCUUGUAGAGGGGGGUAGAAGUCCAUGUGUAGCGGUGAAAUGCGUAGAGAUGUGGAGGAAUACCGGUGGCGAAGGCGGCCCCCUGGACAAAGACUGACGCUCAGGUGCGAAAGCGUGGGGAGCAAACAGG
rnacentral:rRNA from 1 species